rnacentral:misc_RNA from 1 species
AGAGUAUGCAAUUAGAGGUCAGGCAACACGUAAAUCAGAUGUUUACAGUUAUGGUGUUCUUCUGAUAGAAAUUGUCACUGGAAGAUGCAACACAAACUCGCGUUUACCUAUUGACGAACAAUAUCUCCUUGAAAGGACGUGGCAACUUUAUGAAAGAAACGAGUUGGUAAUGCUAGUAGACACGUCUCUAGACGGGGAUUUUGAUGCUGAACAGGCCUGCAGAUACUUGAAGAUUGGGCUCCUAUGCACUCAAGACGCCUUAAAGCUGCGGCCAUCCAUGUCUACUAUUCUCAAGAUGCUAAACGGUGAGAUGGAGGUCAAUGACAAUAAGAUAACAAAACCAGGCUUGAUCUCCGAUUUCAUGGAUCUCAAGAUUAAAAGUAGCGCGCCUGAACAAAUUAAUGCAGCAUAUGAUUACGUCUUAUCAGACAAUACAACGUUACCAUCCACGAGUUCUUCUCAAGGUAACUCGACAUUCACUACCGCUGCAUAUGAUCAAAGCAUUUGAGCUUAGAUUUUUGGAGUUAAUUGGAAAAUUUUGGUGUGG